GGGCAGCAUGGGAGGAAUGGCUGGGAGUUAGAGAAAGAUAUAUUUUCCAUCCCAUGCAAGAGCCACUUCACUGAUAGCUGGCUGGCUGGCAAGCUUGUCCCAAGGCAGCAUAGGCAGAGCCAAGGUGGCAAUGAAGCAAGGGCUUUCUUAUGUAUGUGUGAAUCAUCAGUGAUUUCAGAAAAUCACUAAAAUUGCAACAGCAGUACUUUUCUCAAGAGUGGGUGAUGGAGAGAAGGCAUUAGCCCAACAGCAGGAGAUCUGGAUUCCAAACUCCAGAGCUUACUGAGUAAAGGAGUCAGGUGCAAAGAUGCUGUCCUGUGUUCUAUAGAUGCUGCUUUAGUGCCUCGGGAGUUGACCCAGCUGGUUAACCAGUACCACAGCAAGAAGAGCUGUCCAAGCCGG
ensembl:lncRNA